rnacentral:lncRNA from 1 species
UUUAUAUGGGAUAAAGAAGGUAACUCCUUUUCAUUUCUUUUUCUUGUUUGAAGUAUGUCUCUAAUACUUUGUGUUGCUUAUUAUACACUCGAGUAGAAAAGGGCUUUUUUGUGUUGGGGUGGGGAUGGUUGUGGGCAAAGAUUUCUUAUCCCAAAAAUAAUUUUUGGGUAAUGCUAAUAAUAGAGAGCAAUUGAAAUUUGUUGAAAAUUGAUCAAUAAGGGUAUGAAUCAUAUUAGCAUUACUGCCUAUUAUCACCAUAUCAUCAACGUAAAACAGCAAAUAGAUGACACCAUGAGAGCCAUUAUAAACAAAUAGGAAUGAGUCAGCCUGACUAGCAACAAAGUCAAGGCUGAACAAAGAGAAGCUGAACCUUUGAAACCAUGCCCUUGGAGCCUGUUUAAGAUCAUAGAGAGCUCGCUGCAUGCGACAUACAUGAGUGGGUAUUGUCGUAUUGAGAAUUAACAUAACCUGGAGGUUGUUCUUUUUUCUUCUUUUGAAAGAUGGCCAUGCAAGAUAACAUUUUUAAUGUCAAGCUGGUGAAGAUGUCAAUUGUGCAUAGCAGUAGAAGAAAGGAUUAUUUGAACUGUGGCAGGACGAACAAUCCGACUGAAAAUCUUUUCAAAGUUGAUGUCAUGUUUUUGAUAAAAUCUCUGUGCUACUGGACGAGCUUUAUGAUGUUCUAUAGUACCAUCUGCAUGAAAUUUAAUUUUAAAAAUCCAAUGACAACCCACAACAUUAUGAAUAGAAGGUCAAGGUACCAGUCGCCAAGUGUUAUUUUGCCUGAGAGCUACUAUUUCAUAUUUCUAUUGUAGUAAGCCAUUCCUGAUGUUUUAAGGCUAAUUUAAAAUCCCGUAGCUCUUAAAUAGCAAGAUGUAUCUGAAACCAUGGAGGAGAUGACAAAGUAAUUAAGGAAUGAAUAUUAACAAGCUUAACAAUAUCAUUCCUUAUAUGAGUAAUCAUAGGAUGUGGAGUUGGUGGCGAUAUAAUGAGGAAGAAUUAAGUGGAAUGACAUCUGAAGCAGUCAGAGACUCGGACGGAGGAACGUCAGAUGCUGCUGAAGGAUGCACAGAAUCGAGAAGAUAAAACGUACAAUCAUGGUUAGCACAUGGGAUACACUGAGAAAAUGCCUUGUGAUACUUCGAAGUCAUAUCUGGGGGUGCAUUUUGUGCACAAUACAAAGAAUGAUUAAUAGGAUCAAAAAAAGGGGACACAAUUAGUGAAAACAUGAGAUGGAAGAGUGGAGUAUUUGUAAGGAAAAUGAUCCUUAAAAAAUUGCACAUGACGAGGGAUAUAAAUAUGGUAAGAUUUUGUAUCUAAACAAUGAGAACAUUUUGCAGUGAACUGUAGCCUAAAAAUAUGCAUGGGAAAGUAGAGAGUUGUGAGGAAUAUAGUCACGAAGAAAAGGAAAACAUAAAUAUCCAAGAGUUUGGAGAGAGGAGUAAGAAUGAACUUUAUCAUACAAUACUUCAUGAGGUGUCUUGCCACCAAGAAUCGGUGAUGGGAGCCGAUUGAUGAGAUAACAAGCUGUAGAGAAAGACUCGACUCACAAUUUUAAAGGAACAUGAGAAUGAAGGAGCAAGAUGAGUCUGGUUUCACUGAUAUGCCUAUGUUUACGCUCGGCAAUGCCAUUUUCCUUUGGGUGUAAGGAUAACAUAUGCGUUGAACUAUAUCACAUCAUGAAGAUAAGAAGUGAAUUUGUUAUUUGUGAACUCUAUUCCAUCAUUACAUUAGAAUGAUUUUAUGCUCCUAUCAAAUUGGUUUUUGACACAAAUGACAAAACGGACAAAAAUAUCAAAGAAAUAUGAUUUGAACUUGAG